UACGGAGGGGGCAAGCGUUGUUCGGAAUUACUGGGCGUAAAGGGCUCGUAGGCGGCCAACUAAGUCAGACGUGAAAUCCCUCAGCUUAACUGGGGAACUGCGUCCGAUACUGGAUGGCUUGAGUUCGGGAGAGGGAUGCGGAAUUCCAGGUGUAGCGGUGAAAUGCGUAGAUAUCUGGAGGAACACCGGUGGCGAAGGCGGCAUCCUGGACCGAUACUGACGCUGAGGAGCGAAAGCCAGGGGAGCAAACGGGG
rnacentral:rRNA from 1 species